AUUGAACGCUGGCGGCAUGCCUUACACAUGCAAGUCGAACGGUAACAGGUCUUCGGAUGCUGACGAGUGGCGAACGGGUGAGUAAUACAUCGGAACGUGCCCGAUCGUGGGGGAUAACGGAGCGAAAGCUUUGCUAAUACCGCAUGCGAUCUACGGAUGAAAGCAGGGGACCGCAAGGCCUUGCGCGGACGGAGCGGCCGAUGGCAGAUUAGGUAGUUGGUGGGAUAAAAGCUUACCAAGCCGACGAUCUGUAGCUGGUCUGAGAGGACGACCAGCCACACUGGGACUGAGACACGGCCCAGACUCCUACGGGAGGCAGCAGUGGGGAAUUUUGGACAAUGGGCGAAAGCCUGAUCCAGCCAUGCCGCGUGCAGGAUGAAGGCCUUCGGGUUGUAAACUGCUUUUGUACGGAACGAAAAGACUCUUUCUAAUAAAGAGGGUCCAUGACGGUACCGUAAGAAUAAGCACCGGCUAACUACGUG
rnacentral:rRNA from 1 species